GUCUUUCUUCCACUGGGCUUUUGGAGUAACUGAGCCUGACUGUUAUGGAGCCAUUGAUGUGGACCCUGGGAAAUCCAUCCUUUUUGUUCCCAAACUGCCUGAAAGCUAUGCCACUCGGAUGGGAGAGUGAGUUUCUAUCAAAACGAAUUGCUCAUGUCCUGUCCAACCUGACACCAGCAGUUCUCUAACACUGGUUCCAAGUAAACAACACUGUCUUACACCCAAUCGUUGUGGAACGUUUGUUUGACAUGGGUGGAGAG